rnacentral:rRNA from 1 species
GUGGGGAAUCUUAGACAAUGGGCGCAAGCCUGAUCUAGCCAUGCCGCGUGAGCGAUGAAGGCCUUAGGGUUGUAAAGCUCUUUCGUGGGGGAAGAUAAUGACUGUACCCCAAGAAGAAGCCCCGGCUAACUCCGUGCCAGCAGCCGCGGUAAUACGGAGGGGGCUAGCGUUGUUCGGAAUUACUGGGCGUAAAGCGCACGUAGGCGGACUGGAAAGCUAGGGGUGAAAUCCCGGGGCGCAACACCGGAACUGACUUUGAAACUCCCAGGCUUGAGGUAGAGAGAGGUGGGUGGAAUGCCGAGUGUAGAGGUGAAAUUCGUAGAUAUUCGGAGGAACACCAGUGGCGAAGGCGGCCCACUGGCUCGAUACUGACGCUGAGGUGCGAAAGCGUGGGGAGCAAACAGGAUUAGAUACCCUUGUAGUCC